rnacentral:rRNA from 1 species
GGACGAACGCUGGCGGCGUGCCUAAUACAUGCAAGUCGAGCGGACAGAUGGGAGCUUGCUCCCUGAUGUUAGCGGCGGACGGGUGAGUAACACGUGGGUAACCUGCCUGUAAGACUGGGAUAACUCCGGGAAACCGGGGCUAAUACCGGAUGAUUGUUUGAACCGCAUGGUUCAGACAUAAAAGGUGGCUUCGGCUACCACUUACAGAUGGACCCGCGGCGCAUUAGCUAGUUGGUGAGGUAACGGCUCACCAAGGCAACGAUGCGUAGCCGACCUGAGAGGGU